UGCCAGACGUCUCAACUUGUAUUUAUCCGAAUCAAUGGUUGCGUGUGGGUGUUGUAACACCGUUAAGUUCCCUAGGCUCACAGAUUUAGUCAUUAAUGCACUAACAGUACAUUGGUUGGAACCACUUAUUUUUUUUGCUUCAGAACUCUCCUAAACUGAAAACUCUUACGAUCUACACCACGGGGUGUCCCCCAUGUUCCUGGAACCAGCCGAGUACUGUUCCCCAAUGUUUAUCGUCUCAUCUAGAGAUUGUUCAGUGGAUAGCGUACGAAGGAAAAGAAGAUGAGAAACAACUAAUGAAAUACAUCCUCGCUAACUCAAAAUGUUUAGAAAGACAGUGGAGAUGUCCUUCAUAGCAAGAUGCGAUCUCAAAGAGUGGCAA